UACGUAGGGUGCAAGCGUUGUCCGGAAUUAUUGGGCGUAAAGAGCUCGUAGGCGGUCUGUUGCGUCGGCUGUGAAAACCCGGGGCUCAACCCCGGGCCUGCAGCCGAUACGGGCAGACUAGAGUUCGGCAGGGGAGACUGGAAUUCCUGGUGUAGCGGUGGAAUGCGCAGAUAUCAGGAGGAACACCGGUGGCGAAGGCGGGUCUCUGGGCCGUUACUGACGCUGAGGAGCGAAAGCGUGGGGAGCGAACAGG
rnacentral:rRNA from 1 species